GACGGAGAUCCUCGGGAAUAUACUAACAUUCACAGGAUAAUAGUGCCAAAUUUGGACUUCAACGGAA